GUAUAAUGAGGAGAAGAGUUUUAAGAAUUUGUAGUUGUGUAUUUUAAAAGGAAAAUAAGAAUUUAAUUUUUAUAAAAAAAAUUUUUUUAUUGGGGUUUUGCGCUAUUCUCACUCGUCCCCCAAGGCCGAGGAUAAUCUUAUUUUCGGUCUUGUGAGUCAUAAAGCAGCAAAACUUAUUCGGGAUUUACUGGGACUGAAGAUGAAUUCGACAAACAAUCUAGUUCUAGUUCAGCUUCCAUACCAGAUGAAUCAUAUCCAAGGACUAAUGGAAAGGCACC
rnacentral:lncRNA from 1 species